rnacentral:lncRNA from 1 species
AACUGUUGAGGGACAGAGACUUAAGGUGACAGAAGGGGAGGGUGGCCUAACAGUGGAGGUGCAGUUGGAAUUGGAAAGCCAAGGAGGAAGUAGAGUUGGUGGGGGAGGAGCAGGUGGAUCAGGAUGAAGAAAGUUUCCGUUUGAAGUAGCCAUCAGAAAUGCUGGGGCAGGACGCUCUUUCACUAACUUCUCUGCAAAAGUCUCUAGAAUCCGAUCGUACUUGCCCUCCUCAAUGGGGUCCACAACCUUGUUGUUCUC